UAUCCACUGCCCAAACCCGUAAUUUUCCUCCCUCUUCCUCCUUCUCCCUAUCCACUGUCUCCCAGCACGCUCUCUCUCUCCACUCUCUUUGUGCCCUAAUUAAAUCCAUUACUCUCUGUGCAUUGACCUAGUCGGUGAGGCAGGCUACGACAAUUAGGGAAGAAUCUGAUUUUUUUUUGGGUUUUUGCGAAGGUUUGGGGUGGUGGUCGUUGCACGAAUUAGGUAGUGAUGAGGUCGUCGUGCGCGACGGAGAUGGUCUGGUGGUGGAGUUCAAAUGAUGCGGCUAUUGCGUUCGCUCUAGUCGAUGCUGCUUCUGGUUCCUCUCUCUCGGUGCAACUGCUUUGAUUCCACUGGAGGAUCGUUGAUGCAUUUUCACUCGUCGUCGACGAUGAUGCAAAUGAUUUUGCUUUUGAUUUUGGAUUGCCGGUGAUGAUGCUAGUGAUUCAGUUGGGGUUUCAAUGGUUUCCUUUUGAUUUUAGAUCUAUGGUUUAGCUGUGGAGGUGAUGAUGCUAGCGAUGAUAGUUAGGUGUAGGUGGUGCUAGUGAUCGCGGUUGUGAAGCGGUAAUGGUGGUGGUGGUGGUGGUAUUGCUUGUAGUCACAGUGAUAAUGGUGUGGUUGGUGGUGACGACGACGAUGGUAAGUGCUUAAGAUGGGGUCGGAUGCUCCGUGACUAAUUAUUUGGUUAAUUAUGACCAAUAAUUGGUUAAUAUGUAAUAUGUGACCUAAAAGUUUUGACCGUGACUUACAAUUGAUUAAUUUAUUACUGAAAAUUAAUUGUUACCAACUAAUCUAAUAAUUUGCAGUGAAUAAAUGAGUUGUGACAAACAACAAUUUUGAUUUGUG
rnacentral:lncRNA from 1 species